GAACGUCGUGAGACAGUUCGGUCCCUAUCUGGUGUGGGCGUUGGAUGAUUGAUGGGAGCUGCUCCUAGUACGAGAGGACCGGAGUGGACGAACCGCUGGUGUUCGGGUUGUCAUGCCAAUGGCAUUGCCCGGUAGCUACGUUCGGGAUCGAUAACCGCUGAAAGCAUCUAAGCGGGAAGCGAGCCCAGAGAUGAGUCAUCCCAGACAGUUUAACUGUCCUGAAGGGCUGUUGUAGACUACAACGUUGAUAGGCAGGGUGUGGAAGCGUCGUAAGGCGUUAAGCUAACCUGUACUAAUUGCCCGUGCGGCUUAACC
rnacentral:rRNA from 1 species